rnacentral:rRNA from 1 species
AUUGAACGCUAGCGGGAUGCCUUACACAUGCAAGUCGAACGGAGUGGCGAACGGGUGAGUAAUGUAACGGAACGUGCCCAGUAGCGGGGGAUAACUAAGCGAAAGCGUAGCUAAUACCGCAUACGAUUGGAGCGGCCGUUAUCGGAUUGGCUAGUGGGUGGGGUAACGGCGCACCAAGGCGACGAGCCGUAGCGGGUUUGAGCGGACGACCAGCCACACUGGAACUGAGACACGGCCCGGACUCCUACGGGAGGCAGCAGUGGGGAAUUUUGGACAAUGGGGGAAACCCUGAUACAGCCAUCCCGCGUGUGCGAUGAAGGCCUUCGGGUUGUAAAGCACUUUUGGCAGGAAAGCGGUACCUGCAUAAUAAGCACCGGCUAACUACGUGCCAGUAGCCGCGGUAAUUC